UACGGGGGGGGCAAGCGUUGUUCGGAAUUACUGAGCGUAAAGGGCUCGUAGGCGGCCAACUAAGUCAGACGUGAAAUCCCUCGGCUUAACCGGGGAACUGCGUCUGAUACUGGAUGGCUUGAGUUUGGGAGAGGGAUGCGGAAUUCCAGGUGUAGCGGUGAAAUGCGUAGAUAUCUGGAGGAACACCGGUGGCGAAGGCGGCUCUCUGGAACGCAACUGACGCUGAGACGCGAAAGCGUGGGGAGCAAACAGG
rnacentral:rRNA from 1 species